GCUCCGGCGCCCGCACGGCUGUGUACUAAUCAAACCGUCUUUCCCGCAGCUGAACUGCCCUGGGAGCAACUGGCUUUUUGCGCGACCAGACCACUAGCGAAACUUUGCCCCGGAUUCACUCACCGAUGAAAGUGAAAAACAGCAGCGUCGUCGCGAACCCAAUGACGCAGCAAGUCAGGAACAUGGCGAGCCACUUCCACGUGCUGAACAGGUUCUGAUCACUGGGGAUAGUGGGAAAUGCCACAAGAGGAAUGGAAACAACGAUGGCCAGCCUGCGGUAGUUCUUGUGUGGAAAGCGACACCCCAUGAAUCCGGCGACUCCACGCCUGGCUGCUGGGAAAACCCGGCGCAGCCAGCCAUGUCGGCUGUUUACCACCGUCAUCAUCCCCCGGUGUUACCGUUUUUCAACCAUACUAUCCUGAUAAUAUAGCGUGCUGUUGUGUACAAAGAUUACUAUCUAGCAAGCAAGGAUCUGCUUGCCGUAAAUUUCUCGUUAUCGCGUCUAUGAAUACCGCAUCGAAAAAAAAAAACAUUAUAUCCGUUUGACAGAACAGUGCGGAUGUUCCCACUCGUUAAUCAAACACUCAAGUGCGAGGUUCCCGGAAUAUGAACAACAAAACAGAGCUUGUAUUUUGCUGUCAACUUUGCCAUUAAAAUUUUAAAGUAUCCUU